GGCAGCGGAUCCGUGUAUCUGAUUAGACUUCGGUACGACAGAAGAACCAAGGACCGCAAAAAGCUGUUAUUGUGCUCAGUUACACUUUUGCUGACGGAGAGGUAGACAUGUUUUGGUGUAGAGACUAGCAAACUGCCAGUCAUGGACAUAAAGCCAACAUUGUAACCUCGUAUGCCUGGCAGUGGCGCACUUCAGGGGCCGGUGAAAUCGCUUGUCUACAAACGAGCAGUUUGCUCGUUUGCAGCCGGGCAAAGGUGGAGAAAAUGUUGCUGGGCAAACGCUUCGCUUCUGCCCGCUUGUGUAGACGGACCUUUACACUUGGUCCGAUGUGUAGAUGGAAGCAGCAGAAGGAAGAAAAAGGGGAAAACAAAAGAGGACGACGAAGAAAAAAGGAAAAAAAGAAAGAAACCAAAUUUAAAUAUUUAGCUAAGUAUCCCUUUGUAAUCUUGUCGUUCUUUGUAAUGCUUUCUGGUGUUUAGGUGGUGUGUUUAGGGUAUUUCAAUUAUUAGGGAGUGUUUGGGUAGUAUUGCAUUUUGUUUUGGAUGUGUUUGGAUUCUUGUAAAUAUUUUAGGUGUAUUUUGUGUGUUAUGGGUGCAUUUUCUAUGUUCAGUGUGUGGUAGAUGGAUUUAGGUGUAUUUUACGUAUUUUGAGUGUUGGGAUGGUAUUGGAGUAUUUAGGUGUGUUUUGAGAGUGUUUGGAGGCAUUUCGAGAUGUUUUACGACAUUUUGAGUGUUGAGUGUGUGUUCUGGGUGUGCUUUGUGGUGUGGGGGUAUAAUGGGUGUUUCUAGGGAGUUUUGGGUAUGUUUGGGGGUGUUUUGAGACGUUUCAUGGUGUUUUGAGUGUUUGGGGUUAGUUUUCCCAGAGUUUUUGAGUGUUUUUAGUACUUUGAGUUUCUGGAUGUGUGGGACCGAUGUUAAUUCUUGGUGUGUUUGGGUAUGUGUGGGUCGUGUGGAUGUUCUGUUACUUUUGGGGUGAAUUUGUUCAUGAUAUUAGCGACUUUAGCGACAAGUAGUGAAUGAGCUGAAAGUGUAGGAGGGAGGGACUUCGUCAGCCACCUCGCCUCGCCCACUGCCAUCAUGCUAUGCCAUACCACGCCACACACCACACCAGUGACUGACUCUACAUGUCCAGCCGCCGCCGGUAUCACAGCCUGAGAUGAGAUGGGCACACACCACGCUAUGUAAGAGAAUCAUGAAUAGGGAAGGAGGUAGAGAGUAAGUUAGGGAAGGAGACAUGUAGGGAGAAAAGGGGCAGAGAAGAAGAGGCGUCUACGGAGUUAAUCUAUAAUAAUGUAUGCUUGAUGUGGGGGAGGUAGGUGUUCUCUUUCACUGACCUCUCACUUUCUUACCAGGUGUGGAGCGAAGGUUAACUGGAAGCCAAAAUGAACCUUGCCAAGCUGCCAACCGAGAAGAUGCAACUAUGUCAGAAAUAUCACAAGGGCCUCCUCGUUGAUGUGCAAGCCGGUGUUGGUGGUAGGCCGGCCCGAAGAACUUCCCUACUCAGCUUACCUGGCAGCCAUGAUGGGGUGAUGGCCAGCGAGGGAAGGCCGUGUGUCAAGCUGCUCCGCCCUCAACCCUGGCAACAUUCCUACGUAGUAUAUAGUGUUGAAGUUGUGUGUGCAGACCCAGAGUAGCGCGAGUGAUGAAUGACAGACAACCCAGCUGUAUCUCUCGGUCCUAGGACCUACAGACUAUUUACCUCCACGUCGGCCGUUUACGCUCGCCAGGCUGCAAAACUGCAAGAAGAGAUAGACAGCUGUGAUGGGCCAUUUUGUAUUUCCCAACAUCAAGUAUAUAAAAUAAGUAGUCUGUUAUGUUUGACAAGCCCUAUAACAAACACACAGUACUACUAGUUAGUACACUACUACUACUUAGUACUGAGGAAGGAAUACUACAAAUUAAAGCCCUCGGCUAUCCCCCCAGUUGUUGUUAGGGAGACGGGAGUGGUUGGUUGUACUUGCCGUCAAGUAAGGCAGCACCAACCACCCAGCGAGGUUUCCUGGCUGGCUUCUCUCUCAGAAGACACGGCUCUAAGUUCCAUGUCUUAUUUGAUGAUGUCUUGAGUCCUUCACCAACCAGGGAUGUGUGAUCAACUUGGUUGGUGACGACUGGUAAUAAAUAAUAAUCACCCGUUGCGAGGCCAGAGUUGUAUUCCUCGUCCGCCACACGCCCAUGAACGUGAUGCUGCGGGUGUUACGGGCUGCCCCUACGUCUCGCUGCGGGCGGUCACAAGCAGCCGCCAGCCCUCAACACGCUCUGGUGAGUGCAGACCCAGAGUAGCGAGUGAUGAAUGACAACCAGCUGUAUCUCUCGGUCCUAGGACCUGCAGACUGUUUUCCUGCACGUCGGCCGUUUACGCUCGCCAGGCUGCAAAACUGCAAGAAGAGAUAAAGACAGC
rnacentral:lncRNA from 1 species